rnacentral:rRNA from 1 species
AGAGUUUGAUCCUGGCUCAGAGUGAACGCUGGCGGCAUGCCUAACACAUGCAAGUCGAACGGCAGCACAGCAGUAGCAAUACUGUGGGUGGCGAGUGGCGGACGGGUGAGGAAUACAUCGGAAUUUGCCCUGUCGUGGGGGAUAACGUAGGGAAACUUACGCUAAUACCGCAUACGACCUAACGGUGAAAGCGGGGGAUCGCAAGACCUCGCGCGGUUGGAGAAGCCGAUGUCAGAUUAGCUAGUUGGCGGGGUAAUGGCCCACCAAGGCGACGAUCUGUAGCUGGUCUGAGAGGAUGAUCAGCCACACUGGGACUGAGACACGGCCCAGACUCCUACGGGAGGCAGCAGUGGGGAAUAUUGGACAAUGGGCGCAAGCCUGAUCCAGCAAUGCCGCGUGUGUGAAGAAGGCCUUCGGGUUGUAAAGCACUUUUAUCUGGAAC